rnacentral:rRNA from 1 species
UACGGAGGGGGCUAGCGUUGUUCGGAAUUACUGGGCGUAAAGCGCACGUAGGCGGCUUUGCAAGUUAGAGGUGAAAGCCCGGGGCUCAACUCCGGAAUUGCCUUUAAAACUGCAUCGCUAGAAUUGUGGAGAGGUAAGUGGAAUUCCGAGUGUAGAGGUGAAAUUCGUAGAUAUUCGGAAGAACACCAGUGGCGAAGGCGGCCUGCUGGGCAGUAGCUGACGCUGAUGCGCGACAGCGUGGGGAGCAAACAGG